UGGUUUGCACUAGAUAUGUUCCCAAUGAUGAAAGAUACAUAGGAUGCCAUUACCGAAGAAAGAAACUUGUUCUUCUGUUUUCCUGCAAUUUCUCGCUCUGUCAUAAGCUAAGAGCUGUAAAUGUACUUAAUGUUGCAUCGUCAAACAUGCAUGCCCCCAGAACAAGUAAACGCCCUUGGCUCUUUUAGGGAUGAAUGAGUUUGUGUGUGCAUGUUUCUGUAGUGUAGUAUGUUUUUGUUUCAGCAUGGAAUUCUCAGAUAGCAGAAGCCGCCGCUAUCAAGGCGGGCCAUGUUGGGCCCGGCCCACCUGGAAGUGCUGCCUGCAGCUCACAGGAUGUUCCUUCCUCCAGAGUUUGCUCGUGUCCUCCUCUACCACCACCCCAUCUCAAUACGAUCCGAUCUCCGAUUGUGCUGAGCUCCAUCGGAUCCGCUGCAGAACCUGGGAGCAGGAUCCGCGGUCGCGAGCCAUGGCGGGGAGGGCCAACAUCCCCACCAACAACUCCGCCCUCAUCGCCAUCAUCGCCGACGAGGACACCGUCACCGGCUUCUUGAUGGCCGGGGUUGGCAAUGUUGAUCUGCGCAAGAAAACCAACUACCUCCUCGUCGAUAACAAGACGACAGUGAAACAAAUUGAAGAUGCAUUCAAAGAGUUUACUGCCAGGGAGGAUAUUGCUAUUGUGCUCAUCAGUCAAUAUCUUAAUGAUAGGAACAGUAAUCCUGCCCCUAACUGAUCGGAGGUUAUACGUAUGAGAGAUUGGAGGACGGGGCUUGAACUGCGGUGGACGGCGGCGGGGCGCCGUGUUCGCGUAUGAGGAAGAAGUGGCGGCUAGGGUUGGGAACGCCGGCUCCUUGAGGAAGCCGGCAACAACUAGAUUGCCAACAUGAUACGAUUUCUGGUGGAUAGCUACAACAAGCCAGUCCCUGCUAUUCUGGAGAUCCCAUCCAAGGACCAUCCAUAUGAUCCAGCGCAUGACUCGGUGCUCUCUCGCGUGAAGUAUCUGUUUUCCUCAGAAUCAGUGGCAUCUGAUAGGCGAUGAAGACACCCUUUUGUAGUAGUACCCUUUGUUGUAUCUAUUUUGUUUCUUGUGUUGAAGAAAAGUUUGCUUGUACCAUCUGGUGUGAGGGACAGCAAGAAGCAUGAAUAAUGAGCUUGGAAACAAUAAUUGGGUUGAACCAAACCGAAAUGUAUUUUACAAGAUUGGGGUGCUGUUUGGUGCUUGUACUGAUUUGGUUUUAUAUGGAGAAUAAUUUGAGGCGUGAUUGUUGAUUG